GUCUGGGGCCACACCACCCUGAACGCACCCGAUCCCCUCUGACCUUGGAAGCUAAGCAGGGUCGAGCCUGGUUAGUACUUGAAUGGGAGAAAGUUGACUAAUGAGGGUCCUCUAGAGC
rnacentral:rRNA from 1 species